AACUUUUAACAACGGAUCUCUUGGCUCCAGCAUCGAUGAAGAACGCAGCGAAACGCGAUAUGUAAUGUGAAUUGCAGAAUUCAGUGAAUCAUCGAAUCUUUGAACGCACAUGGCGCCUUCCAGUAUCCUGGGAGGCAUGCCUGUCCGAGCGUCG
rnacentral:rRNA from 1 species